UUUCGGAUAGCGUCGUGAAGCAUAGGCGAAAUAAAACUAGCAAUUUCAAUAUCGAACAUGAACCUAAAAAGAGGAUUUCGAUUCGGGCCGAAGAAGAUUGCUUUCUGGAAGGAUUGGAUCCACUUUUAGAUCUGGUGGAGGAUGCAGAGGAUUUGGAUGAUGCCACCCCUCCCCAGCAAGCACCCCCGCCUGUCAUGGUCUAAACCCUCCCGCUGCUAUGUCAUUCACCCUGUCUGAUGGUUCUACAUCCACUUUUCAUAGACCUUUUGAAAAAGAUAAUAGGGGCUUGUGGCACCAUUUGUCCUAACAGAAUCGGUUUCCCGAAGACCAAGGUAAAUGACAUGACAAAGACAGCAGAGAGGUGGACCAUACGUUGGAUCAGGACUAACAAACUGCCUUUUGUGAAAUGGAAGGACACUAGGGAAGUAACCAUGCUCACCAUACAGCAUAAAGUAUUCAAUAACAAACAUGUCUCAAGGAGGGUGAAAAAUGCCAGUGGGGCAUGGGUGAGGAAGAAUGUCUCCAUUCCUGUUUCUGUGAAGGACUACAAUGCCAGCAUGGGGGGCGAUGUCGACCUAUCUGAUGCUCUGGCUACUACCAGGUCCUCCACAAGACCAGGAAGUGAUCGAGAAUUUUCCAAGGAGGUCCGUGGACAACUCUGCUCGGGGGGCUUCAGAGAUGUCUGGAAUUCACCCACAUUAACAUCAACCAGCACAUGCGUCUGUAUCUGCUGUUCAGACUCCUCCAUUGAGAACUGCAUUGAACUUGUUGUCAAUGCAUGAUGUGCCUCGGAAGCCUGUUCGGCCCUGAUACAGCCUCAGUAGUCUGUGAAGACUACCACUGCCUCUGCCGUCUCUCAGCCAGCUCUGCUAGAGCCUCUGAGAGCUGAUUGGUGUGUGGACUACCUGCUCAGGCAGACUGGGAAGGCCAUACAUAGCAUAUGGACCCUGACUCAGAGGAGACUGAACCCCACAGUUGCUAGUCUUCUGGAUGACUUCACCACCACCACUGCUGACUUCUCUGCUGCCAGCCCCACUAAAAGCUGCUCCCACUAAAGUCCAUCCUGCUUCCUCCAGUGCCAAGUCUGCUGCCACCAGAACCUGGCCUGCUUCACCCACAGCCCAGUCUGCUGCUAGCCAACUCCUCAUGCAAAAAAAAAUUGUCAACGUGUCACUAGUUUCCAUAUAGACUCUGCUGUACCCCAGCCCUUUUUAUUUUCUUUCUAAAAUUAGAGGCUUGACUCAAUCAGAUCGAGCGUUGACCCGCGGAUGCUCUUGUGUGUCACAAACCACUCCCUUCCUUCCCACUGGGCACACAGUGGUUGGCUCAACGUAGUUUCCACGUCAAUUCAAUGAAAUUACGUUGACCCAACUUGGAAUAGACAUUGAAUAGACUUUUGUGCCCAGUGGGUUAUUGUCCCUACCACAUUAGAAGUUCAAAACAGCACUAGAAAAUGUAGGCUAUUGCAUAAUUAGUAUGUUAAUUUGGAGUGGAGACUUUAAAGCCUAUCAGUCUAAUCGGGAGUGAGGCCUAUAGCCUACAAUAGAACAUCACACAUUCAAGUGUUUGAACUUGUAAUGCGAAUGCAGGAACUUCUAAGGCAGCUGCAUGGGAUUUGGCGGAUAUUAAGUCGGGUGGUUUCAUUGCAUCCAACGCAGUGUAGGCGAUAAGGUAACACAAGGAGCCGUUUGUAGAUUUUUCCACCUCCGACACUUCCAAAACAACCGCUAUGCGGGUAUCGACCAACGUUCAGAUGGGAGUUUUUGCAUGAAUGUUGUCAUGUUUGGAUCCUGUUGUCUUAUUCACUCAGAAUCAGUCAGCUAGUUGCCCACAACAAGGCUCCCUAAAUUCUAUCAGCAUAUCGAAUGCGCGACCCGGGCUGGCAAAACCCUGGAUCGUUGUUAUUCUAACUUCCGUGACGCAUAUAAAG